rnacentral:misc_RNA from 1 species
UCCCGUUUAACACGGGCAGUCUCUUAUGAAAGUAUAACAUAAGACAAGGGUUGCGCUCGUUCGCGGACCUAACCGAACACCUCAAGGCACGAGCUGACGACAACCAUGCAGCGCCUGUCACCGAGUUCCUUGCGGCACUCCCCUGUUUCCAGGAGAUUCUCGGGAUGUCAAGCCUUGGUAAGGUUCCUCGUUUUGUGUCGAAUUAAACAACAUGCUCCACCGCUUGUGUGGGUCCCCGUCUAUUCCUUUGAGUUUUAAUCUUGCGACCGUACUUCCCAGGCGGAAUACUUAACGCGUUAGCUAAGGCACUGGCGGGAUCGAUCCGCCAACACCGAGUAUUCAUCGUUUACGGCGUGGACUAC